GACAUAAUAAGAAGCAAACAUGCAGAACAUGCACCGAGCGAUGCUACUCGAAAGUUUCUUCGAAGAACCGAAGUCAAAAUGCGCCAGAGAGGAGGAAAGUGAAAUUCUGCAAAUAAGGGUAACAAUGAAAUGGUAUUUCUGAUAAAUGUUUCGUUUGUAUUUGCUUACAAAAUCAAUGUAAGUGCUCGAAAACUCGAUGAACAAGCGAAUGGAUUUUGUCGUGCUGGAUAUCUCUCGCGUGUUUCAGAAACACGCUGAAUUAUACAUACAAGAAGGCGUAGACGAACGAGCUGACCCAUAGUUAUGAUUCGUAGGCUCGA